GCCAGUGUGGUAUAGUGCUUUGAACAUUGGAUUAUCACUCUGGAGUUCAGAGUUCGAAUCCCUGUUUUGCCA